rnacentral:rRNA from 1 species
AUUGAACGCUGGCGGCAGGCCUAACACAUGCAAGUCGAGCGAGCGGCGGACGGGUGAGUAAUGUAUGGGGACUGCCCGAUAGAGGGGGAUAACUACUGGAAACGGUGGCUAAUACCGCAUACUAUCGGAUAACACAUAUGGGAUUUGCUAGUGGGUGGGGUAAAGGCCCACCUAGGCUACGAUCUCUAGCUGGUCUGAGAGGAUGAUCGGCCACACUGGGACGGGGACACGGCCAAACCUCCUACGGAGGAAGCAGUGGGGAAUAUUGGACAUGGGGCGAAAGCUGGAUGCAGCCAUGCGGGUGGUAUGAGGAAGGCCUCAGGGUUGUAAAGUACUUUCAGAGAGGAGGCGUUACCCGAAGAAGAAGCACCGGCUAACUCCGUGCCAGCAGCCGCGGUAAUAC